rnacentral:rRNA from 1 species
UACGUAGGUGGUGAGCGUUGUCCGGAUUUACUGGGCGUAAAGGGAGCGUAGGCGGACUUUUAAGUGAGAUGUGAAAUACUCGGGCUCAACUUGAGUGCUGCAUUUCAAACUGGAAGUCUAGAGUGCAGGAGAGGAGAAUGGAAUUCCUAGUGUAGCGGUGAAAUGCGUAGAGAUUAGGAAGAACACCAGUGGCGAAGGCGAUUCUCUGGACUGUAACUGACGCUGAGGCUCGAAAGCGUGGGGAGCAAACAGG